rnacentral:rRNA from 1 species
GACGAACGCUGGCGGCGUGCUUAACACAUGCAAGUCGAACGGAAAGGCCUUUUCGGAGGUACUCGAGUGGCGAACGGGUGAGUAACACGUGGGUGAUCUGCCCUGCACUCUGGGAUAAGCCUGGGAAACUGGGUCUAAUACCGGGUAGGACCGCACUUUAGUGUGUGUGGUGGAAAGUUUUUUCGGUGUAGGAUGAGCCCGCGGCCUAUCAGCUUGUUGGUGGGGUAAUGGCCUACCAAGGCGGCGACGGGUAGCCGGACUGAGAGGUUGGUCGGCCACAUUGGGACUGAGAUACGGCCCAGACUCCUACGGGAGGCAGCAGUGGGGAAUAUUGCACAAUGGGCGCAAGCCUGAUGCAGCGACGCCGCGUGGGGGAUGACGGCCUUCGGGUUGUAAACUCCUUUCGCCAGGGACGAAGCGUUUUGUGACGGUACCUGGAGAAGAAGCACCGGCUAACUACGUG